GAGGUUGUAGCUCAGUGGUAGAGCACUUGACUCACACACAAGGCCCUGGGUUCAAUCCUCAACACCA
rnacentral:tRNA from 1 species